rnacentral:rRNA from 1 species
AACACAUGCAAGUCGAGGGGCAGCAUUUUAGUUUGCUUGCAAACUGCAAGAUGGCGACCGGCGCACGGGUGAGUAACACGUAUCCAACCUGCCGAUAACUCCGGAAUAGCCUUUCGAAAGAAAGAUUAAUACCGGAUAGCAUACGAAUAUCGCAUGAUAUUUUUAUUAAAGAAUUUCGGUUAUCGAUGGGGAUGCGUUCCAUUAGUUUGUUGGCGGGGUAACGGCCCACCAAGACUACGAUGGAUAGGGGUUCUGAGAGGAAGGUCCCCCACAUUGGAACUGAGACACGGUCCAAACUCCUACGGGAGGCAGCAGUGAGGAAUAUUGGUCAAUGGGCGAGAGCCUGAACCAGCCAAGUAGCGUGAAGGAUGAAGGCUCUAUGGGUCGUAAACUUCUUUUAUAUGGGAAUAAAGUUUUCCACGUGUGGAAUUUUGUAUGUACCAUAUGAAUAAGGAUCGGCUAACUCCGUGCCAGCAGCCGCGGUAAUACGGAGGAUCCGAGCGUUAUCCGGAUUUAUUGGGUUUAAAGGGAGCGUAGGUGGAUUGUUAAGUCAGUUGUGAAAGUUUGCGGCUCAACCGUAAAAUUGCAGUUGAAACUGGCAGUCUUGAGUACAGUAGAGGUGGGCGGAAUUCGUGGUGUAGCGGUGAAAUGCUUAGAUAUCCACGAAGAACUCCGAUUGCGAAGGCAGCUCACUAGA